rnacentral:lncRNA from 1 species
AGAGGGGAGUACCCAGCCCUGGUGGUGUGGGGCUAGUGGGGGCAGGAAGAUAGAUUGGGGGUGCCGUGGGGUGCAUGAGGUGGGAACUGGCCUGGUCCAUGACACGUCACCCCCAGCACCCACCUGGCCAAGGUGUAGGGCUGAGACCAACCAGGACAGAAGCACCACACACCAAAAGCAAUUAAAUGCUCAAGGGGUCACAGACCAGCCCCGGAGCUCUCUCCCAUCCAGAGGUCAGAGGAGAGUGUCCUCAUUUGCUGCCUCUUAAAUACAUCUGAUCCUGCCUUAAUUCCUUCUAAAACCUUCCCUGAGAGCUUUCAGGUGGCUGCAGGGGAGAGGUGCCCAUGAGCUGGGGUGGCAGGCCAGCCAGGCAGGGGUGACAGCCCGGGGCUGAGCAGUGCCUCCAGAGGGAUGUGAAGGGCUGUGGGUGCUGGUGGUGAUGGAGGAAGCGCCAUGUGCACCACCAUCCUGAUCCUGGGUCCACUGGUCCUCCUGCUGCGGCGCCGCUUCUGCAACAAAGUCGAACCGCACUCGGAGGGAGAGGAGGAGAUCAGGAGAGAGGCUGGCUCUGACCCUCACGGCUCGUAGCAGCGCUCUGGAGCACAGGCCAGCUCCCCUGCGCUCUGCAGCCAGCACCGAGCACAUC